AAACAAAUAACAUUUUUUAAUUUAUUAACAAUAUCUUAUUAUUAGAUCAUCCCGAAAAUGUUUCACAAAUAACCUCGUUAGCACUAAAAUGAUCUAUGCCUAAAAAUUGUAGCCAUUUCUCCUUUAAAUGUUUAUCUUUAGGGACAUUAAAAAUGGAAUUUCUCCGAGUAAUAAUUAAAGUAACAAAUUGUAUUAGGCAUUUUCAAAAUACAUCUAAACUACUUUAGUUAAAAUAAGACACAUCAAAAAUUAAAUACAAGUGUAUAAAAUAGGUUUAUUGUUGCCAUUAGAUAGCAUAGUCAAGUAUACUAAAUAGUAG